UACGGGGGGGGUAAGCGUUGUUCGGAAUUACUGGGCGUAAAGGGCUCGUAGGUGGCCAACUAAGUCAGACGUGAAAUCCCUCGGCUUAACCGGGGAACUGCGUCUGAUACUGGAUGGCUUGAGAUUGGGAGAGGGAUGCGGAAUUCCAGGUGUAGCGGUGAAAUGCGUAGAUAUCUGGAGGAACACCGGUGGCGAAGGCGGCAUCCUGGACCAACACUGACGCUGAGGUGCGAAAGCGUGGGGAGCAAACAGG
rnacentral:rRNA from 1 species